rnacentral:rRNA from 1 species
UACGUAGGUGGCAAGCGUUGUUCGGAAUUACUGGGCGUAAAGGGCGCGUAGGCGGUUCGUUAAGUCCUGUGUGAAAUCCCCCGGCUCAACUGGGGAACUGCACAGGAAACUAGCGGGCUUGAGUUCGGGAGAGGGAAGCGGAAUUCCGGGUGUAGCGGUGAAAUGCGUAGAGAUGCGGAGGAACACCGAUGGCGAAGGCAGCCCCCUGGGCUAACACUGACGCUCAGGCACGAAAGCGUGGGGAGCAAACAGG